UUAUAACGCGGUGGUCGACGACAGAAAGCCCAUUUGUCGUUUGAUCCAACGCAUUGCUUUAAAUAAACGACCAGCAUAACGCCUCCUGCGAUGUGAUUUUUACAGUUUAUAAGCCGCCAUUCCUCGACAUAAUCAGUUAUCGUUUAUCGUUGAAGUACCGUUAUUCAAGAACCCCCAAAAUAAAAAGUAUCCCCAGCGAAAUGUUUACUGCUCUUCUGGUCUCAAGGAUGAUUUUCGCCGCUCUCUUGUCCUCUUUGGGAUGUAAUUUUCUGUUUGGUCGAUAAGACAUUGCAAGAAAAUUAAGGAAAGAAAAUCACAAUGAGGAACCUUUUUGGACUUCGUAUUGCAUCUCCUCCCUACAGCACAAGUGUGUUCUUGAAAUUCUAGGUCACCAAUGACGGGGAAAAAGAUAAUGCAAGCUGCAGAAUAUAAUGGGGAACCAAGAUGGUAUGCUUCAGUAAAGGAAAAGGAAAGGUGAUUUAUUCUGUGAAUAUGGUCCCAAUUUUUCUCCAUACUAAAAGUGAGAUUGAAGCAACUUCUUGUUACUUGUAUCUUGAAAUGGUGAGAUUGUUGUUGAGAGCUUGAAGGUCCCAUUUGAGUUAGAGAUUACCAUCUCCUACUGCAACCAUGUGGUCCAGCUCAAAAAGCUGUCCAUUAAAGAACAAGUUAUGAUUAAAAGGUACAAUGCAUUAUGCAUAGCCUUGUCAGUGAUCACUGUUGUUUUUGAUUUUAUUAUGUUUUUAGUGGUAAUGGAGAGCUGCUGAUGCUAAGUGGGAGUUUCUGUCUAUUGUGAUAAGAUUUAAGGAUUUUUCAUUGGGCUGGCCUUGAAAAUUGAAAUAUGCCUUUUCUUUAAAGUUGCCAA